UAGGUAGGAACAUAAAGGCAUCCGAGCA
rnacentral:piRNA from 1 species